UACGUAGGGGGCAAGCGUUGUCCGGAAUCACUGGGCGUAAAGCGCGCGCAGGCGGUCUUUCACGUCCGGGGUGAAAGCCCAGAGCUCAACUCUGGGAUUGCCUUGGAUACGGGGAGACUUGAGGGUCGGAGAGGCAAGGGGAAUUCCACGUGUAGCGGUGAAAUGCGUAGAGAUGUGGAGGAACACCUGUGGCGAAGGCGCCUUGCUGGCCGACUUCUGACGCUGAGGCGCGAAAGCGUGUGGAGCAAACAGG
rnacentral:rRNA from 1 species